rnacentral:rRNA from 1 species
AGAGUUUGAUCAUGGCUCAGGAUGAACGCUGGCGGCGUGCUUAACACAUGCAAGUCGAACGGUGAACACGGAGCUUGCUCUGUGGGAUCAGUGGCGAACGGGUGAGUAACACGUGAGCAACCUGCCCCUGACUCUGGGAUAAGCGCUGGAAACGGCGUCUAAUACUGGAUACGAGUAGCGGCCGCAUGGUCAGUUACUGGAAAGAUUUAUUGGUUGGGGAUGGGCUCGCGGCCUAUCAGCUUGUUGGUGAGGUAAUGGCUCACCAAGGCGUCGACGGGUAGCCGGCCUGAGAGGGUGACCGGCCACACUGGGACUGAGACACGGCCCAGACUCCUACGGGAGGCAGCAGUGGGGAAUAUUGCACAAUGGGCGGAAGCCUGAUGCAGCAACGCCGCGUGAGGGAUGACGGCCUUCGGGUUGUAAACCUCUUUUAGCAGGGAAGAAGCGAAAGUGACGGUACCUGCAGAAAAAGCACCGGCUAACUACGUGCCAGCAGCCGCGGUAAUACGUAGGGUGCAAGCGUUAUCCGGAAUUAUUGGGCGUAAAGAGCUCGUAGGCGGUUUGUCGCGUCUGCUGUGAAAUCCGGAGGCUCAACCUCCGGCCUGCAGUGGGUACGGGCAGACUAGAGUGCGGUAGGGGAGAUUGGAAUUCCUGGUGUAGCGGUGGAAUGCGCAGAUAUCAGGAGGAACACCGAUGGCGAAGGCAGAUCUCUGGGCCGUUACUGACGCUGAGGAGCGAAAGGGUGGGGAGCAAACAGGCUUAGAUACCCUGGUAGUCCACCCCGUAAACGUUGGGAACUAGUUGUGGGGUCCAUUCCACGGAUUCCGUGACGCAGCUAACGCAUUAAGUUCCCCGCCUGGGGAGUACGGCCGCAAGGCUAAAACUCAAAGGAAUUGACGG